rnacentral:tRNA from 1 species
UCAACAAGUAGUUUAAUAAAAAUAUUAGUUUUGGAUGCUAAAGAUAAUGUUUUCUUGUUG